rnacentral:rRNA from 1 species
AACGAACGCUGGCGGCGUGCCUAAUACAUGCAAGUCGAGCGAGACUCUUCGGAGUCUAGCGGCGGACGGGUGAGUAACACGUGGGCAACCUGCCUGUAAGACUGGGAUAACACCGGGAAACCGGUGCUAAUACCGGAUAAUCCUUUUCCUCUCAUGAGGAAAAGCUGAAAGUCGGUUUCGGCUGACACUUACAGAUGGGCCCGCGGCGCAUUAGCUAGUUGGUGAGGUAACGGCUCACCAAGGCGACGAUGCGUAGCCGACCUGAGAGGGUGAUCGGCCACACUGUGACGGAGACACGGCCCAGACUCCUACGGGAGGCAGCAGUAGGGAAUCUUCCACAAUGGACGAAAGUCUGAUGGAGCAACGCCGCGUGAGCGAUGAAGGCCUUCGGGUCGUAAAGCUCUGUUGUUAGGGAAGAACAAGUACCGGAGUAACUGCCGGUACCUUGACGGUACCUAACCAGAAAGCCACGGCUAACUACGUGCCAGCAGCCGCAGUAAGAC